rnacentral:misc_RNA from 1 species
AAGUCGUAACAAGGUUUCUGUAGGUGAACCUGCGGAAGGAUCAUUAACACGUAUCCAAACGUUAAAACCCCCCCCGUGAACCUUCAUCCUGCUCUUGUAACCCGCGUAGUUUGCAAUCUCUGAUAAAUCAUGGCCCGGAAAGUUGUAGUGAUUCAGAGACCUCUGGCUACGUGCGAAAUCGUAAGCGCUAUCCUUGCACAAUCAAUGACACUUUCCGACACUGACUGCUUGGGGAAACAUUGCCUAUAGAACUACCGCUCGAUUGUAACUGUUCCAAUGUUACACUCGGGCAGGAGCUUUGCCAAAGGGUCCCCAUGCCCCCUAAUAACCCCACAGUUUAAUGUGAAGCUCAAUGUAAUACAUUGGGUAAAAAAACCGAACAACUGUUAACAAUGGAUAUCUUGGUUCUC